rnacentral:rRNA from 1 species
CCUACGGGGGGCAGCAGUGAGGAAUAUUGGUCAAUGGGCGCGAGCCUGAACCAGCCAAGUAGCGUGAAGGAUGACUGCCCUACGGGUUGUAAACUUCUUUUAUAAAGGAAUAAAGUGUGGCACUUGUGCCUUUUUGCAUGUACUUUAUGAAUAAGGAUCGGCUAACGCCGUGCCAGCAGCCGCGGUAAUACGGGGGAUGCGAGUGUUAUCCGGAUUUAUUGGGUUUAAAGGGAGCGUCGAAGGGUUGUUGAGUCAGUUGUGAAAGUUUGCGGCACAACCGGGACAUUGAAAUUGAUAUUGGCAGGCUUGAGUAGAGUAGAGGUAGGCGGAAUUCGCGGUGUAGCGGUGAAAUGCGUAGAGAUCGCGAAGAACUCCGAUUGCGAAGGCGGCUUACUGGACUAACACUGACGUUGAGGCUCGAAAGCGUGGGUAUCAAACAGGAUUAGAUACCCUAGUAGUC